AACAUCUAAGUUUUACCGACGACCACGUGGCACUUGAAGCGAAAGAAUCUGUUUUAUCCAAUGGCCUCAUUUUCAAUGAUGUCAACUACUUACUCAUGUUUUGUGCUUAGUAGGAUUGAAAAUUACUUUGUUAUUGAGCCUAAGAAUAGCAAGAAACAAAUUCGUCCAGGAAAACAUGGGAAUAUAAUCUUUGUUUGCCCCUGACAUGCUUUUAAAAUAAGUUAAC
rnacentral:lncRNA from 1 species